rnacentral:rRNA from 1 species
GACGAACGCUGGCGGCGUGCCUAAUACAUGCAAGUUGAGCGACGAACCAGGGCUUGCCCUGGGGCAAAGCAGCGAACGGGUGAGUAACACGUGGGUAACCUACCCCGAUAACCGGGACAACCCGAGGAAACUCGGGCUAAUACCGGAUGUGCUCACUGGACUUCGGUUCAGUGCGUAAAGGAAGCUUCGGCCUCCGUAUCGGGAGGGGCCCGCGGCCCAUUAGUUUGUUGGUGAGGUAACGGCUCACCAAGACCGCGAUGGGUAGCUGGUCUGAGAGGACGAUCAGCCACACUGGGACUGAGACACGGCCCAGACUCCUACGGGAGGCAGCAGUGGGGAAUCUUGCGCAAUGCGCGAAAGCGUGACGCAGCAACGCCGCGUGGGGGAAGAAGGCCUUCGGGUUGUAAACCCCUUUCAGGAGGGACGAAGGUUCGGCGGUGAAUAGCCGUCCGGACUGACGGUACCUCCACAAGAAGCCCCGGCUAACUACGUG